rnacentral:lncRNA from 1 species
AAGAUUAGUUCUCCGUCGAUAGAAUCUGAGACUCUUUACCUUUUCCAAUGUCAUUAAGAUUAAUGAUGUACAAUCACUCUAUUUUCAAACAGUUUCGAUGGCUACUUUCGAGCCAGCAAGUACAACCACGAAUAAACAGGACCACUCACAAGCAACCGUCCUCUAGUACAACUUCCUCAUGGCAUAUUGGAACAAACUACCCACCAUCAUAACCAAAGAAAGGUUGAUCAAUUGAAUCUUUCAUCCCACGUGUGAAACACCUCCACCUGUUU